CAGCUCGUGUCGUGAGAUGUUGGGUUAAGUCCCGUAACGAGCGCAACCCUUGUCCUUAGUUGCCAGCACAUUAUGGUGGNAACUCUAAGGAGACUGCCGGUGACAAACCGGAGGAAGGUGGGGACGACGUCAAGUCAUCAUGGCCCUUACGACCUGGGCUACACACGUGCUACAAUGGGGCGUACAAAGGGCAGCUAAGCCGCGAGGUGGAGCUAAUCCCAUAAAGCGUCUCGUAGUCCGGAUUGGAGUCUGCAACUCGACUCCAUGAAGUCGGAAUCGCUAGUAAUCGUGAAUCAGAAUGU
rnacentral:rRNA from 1 species